UAAUGGUUACGAAGAAAAUAAAUGAAAACAAAAUUUUCCGGAUAAUCAUCGGUUGUCGUAUGGUGGCUUCCAAUCAAUUACAAUGCGGGAAGCAAUUUAUCGAUUGAGAAAAUUAUUUCAUAAAAAAUCACGUCAUUAAUAAUUUGAAUCCAUGGCUGACAAUUAACCUAUGCAAUUAUGCUCAAGACUGCUGUAUAACAAUAAAAAAAAAUUCUUCUGGAUAACUGGCAAGAAAGAGGUGAAGCAAAAAGAAAAAGUUCCUAGCCAUUGUUUAAUUGGCAAGCCAUAUAUAUUUGGUGCUAAUUGGAAUCGAAAUGAAAGAACUUAACCUAAAGUUAACUAUAGAGCGGCCAGAAAAAAAAACAACGAACAAUGUUCAUUAUGGAAAAAAAUCUGGUCUAGAAAAUUAAUACUCAUCUACUAUUCAAGAAUCAAUUUUCCACUUUUGUAUCGGAAGCAGCAAAAAAAUUUGCGUGUUGCAAACAACAGCAAUUAAUGUCAUGUCGCCAAGUCCAUUGUUGCGAUGAUGAUGAUGAUGAUAGUGACUAUAAUUUGCAGAGAAUGACAACCAGUAGUUUGCCAAGAACGAAAAAACAACAACUGUUUACACUAAUGUUUCUGAAAUUGAAAUUCGAAGAAAAAUAACCA